rnacentral:misc_RNA from 1 species
UCCACUCUCUUGUUUUCUUUAUUUUUUUUUCGUAAUUUUCAAUCUCCUUUCUGUUUUUCGUUUCGAAAUCUUGGGUUCCCGUCAUUUUCUUCUCUGUACCGUCGCUUUCUUUGCAUAGCCAGUCAAGACUCUAGACUAUAGCCUCGUCUUCUUCAUAUAUGGAGGUUGAAACCCAUGCUUUGGCUUCUCCUUUCCCUCUUAAAAUGGACAUUUCUAGAGAUUUCCUAGCCCCUGAUUCGCCGGACUUGCCGCCGUCGGAGGAUUCUCUAAAAUCCGAUGGCCUUCAGUCUACAGAGUCCGGUGAUCGGGAAUGUCAGGAAUUUGAAGUGCCGGUGUUGACUGAUGAGGGUGGUGUGAUGGAUGCUACCGGGAAUUCGCCAGUGGUGGAAGUGUCGGGAGGCGCGUGCUCUGAUAAUGCGGCUGUGAAGCUGCAGAAGGUGUACCGGAGCUACCGCACCCGGCGCAGGUUAGCUGACUCGGCAGUCGUGGCGGAAGAGCUCUGGUGGCAAGCCAUAGACUAUGCGAGAUUGAACCACAGUACAAUUUCGUUCUUCGAUUUCCUUAAACCAGAAACUGCAGCUUCUAGGUGGAAUCGUGUUACUCUGAAUGCUUCCAAGGUGGGCAAGGGAUUAUCCAAAGAUGCCAAAGCGCAAAAAUUGGCUUUUCAGCAUUGGAUUGAAGCUAUUGAUCCAAGGCAUCGUUAUGGGCAUAGCUUGCAUAUAUACUACGAAGAGUGGUGUAAGACAAAUUCUGGUCAACCAUUUUUUUACUGGUUGGACAUAGGAGAUGGUAAAGAGCUUGAUCUCAAAGAAUGUCCAAGGUCUAAGCUUCGGCAACAAUGCAUUAAGUAUCUAGGACCUCAAGAGAGAGAACAUUACGAGUAUAUUGUUGUUGAAGGCAAAAUUACACACAAACAAACUGGAAAUCGCCUUGAUACGUCCAAUGGAUCAAAAGGAACUAAGUGGAUAUUUGUUAUGAGCACAACUAAGAGGCUGUAUGCUGGUGAGAAAAAGAAAGGAAUUUUCCAUCAUUCAAGCUUCUUGGCUGGGGGUGCUACAUUAGCUGCAGGAAGAUUAACAGUAGAGAAUGGAAUUCUUAAGUCCAUUUCUCCAUACAGU